rnacentral:misc_RNA from 1 species
GAUGAAGAACGUAGCGAAAUGCGAUAAGUAAUGUGAAUUGCAGAAUUCAGUGAAUCAUCGAAUCUUUGAACGCACAUUGCGCCCUGUGGUAUUCCGCAGGGCAUGCCUGUUCGAGCGUCAUUUCAACCCUCAAGCCCCGCUUGGUGUUGGGCCCCGCCCGCUGUGGCCGGCCCUAAAGACAGUGGCGGCGCCGCCUGGCCCUCAGCGUAGUACAUCUCUCGCUCCAGGGUCCAGUGGCCGCCUGCCAGAACCCCCCAACUCUGUGGUUGACCUCGGAUCAGGUAGGGAUACCCGCUGAACUUAAGCAUAUCAAUAAGCGGAGGA